rnacentral:tRNA from 1 species
AGGGUUGUGGCUCAGUGGUAGAGCACUUGCUUAGCAUGUGUGAGGCACUGGGUUCAAUUCUCAGCACCACAU